CGACGGGUACCGGGACUGAGAGGUUGACCCGGCGCAUCGGGACUGAGACACUGCCCGGACUCCUACGGGAGGCUGCAGUAACGAAUAUUGGUCAAUGGGCGAAAGCCUGAACCAGCGACGCCGCGUGUGGGAGGAAGCCCUUCGGGGUGUAAACCACUGUCAGGGAUUACCAAGCAAUGGAGGCUAAUACCCUCCUGCGUUGAGGCGUCCCAGAGGAAGUCACGGCUAACUUCGUGCCAGCAGCCGCGGUAAUACGAAGGUGGCGAGCGUUGUUCGGAAUCACUGGGCUUAAAGAGCACGUAGGCGGACUGCCAAGCGUCUUGUGAAAUCCCCCGGCUCAACCGGGGAAUUGCUGGGCGAACUGGUAGUCUUGAGGCAAGUAGGGGCAGAUGGAACUCUUGGUGGAGCGGUGGAAUGCGUAGAUAUCAAGAGGAACGCCAGAGGCGAAGGCGAUCUGCUGGGCUUGACCUGACGCUGAGGUGCGAAAGCCAGGGGAGCAAACGGGAUUAGAUACCCCGGUAGUCCUGGCCAUAAACGAUGUCCACUAGAUCGGUGAACUUCUGACAGUGUGCCGGUCGAAACAAAAGCGUUAAGUGGACCGCCUGGGGAGUACGGUCGCAAGGCUAAAACUCAAAGGAAUUGACGGGGGCUCACACAAGCGGUGGAGCAUGUUGCUUAAUUCGAUGCAACGCGAAGAACCUUAUCCUGGGCUUGACAUGCUUGGAUGCCCAUCUGGAAACAGAGUAGGCUGCCCUUCGGGGUGAAACUUGCACAGGUGCUGCAUGGCUGUCGUCAGCUCGUGUCGUGAGAUGUUGGGUUAAGUCCCGUAACGAGCGAAACCCUUGUCGUUAGUUGCCAGCGCGUAAUGGCGGGGACUCUAGCGAGACUGCCGGUGUUAAACCGGAGGAAGGUGGGGAUGACGUCAAGUCCUCAUGGCCUUUAUGCCCAGGGCUGCAAACGUGCUACAAUGGCGAGGACAAACCGACGCAAAGCCGCGAGGUCGAGCAAAUCGGAGAAACCUUGCCCCAGUUCGGAUUGGAGUCUGCAACUCGACUCCAUGAAGUCGGAAUCGCUAGUAAUCGCGUAUCAGCGUGACGCGGUGAAUAUGUUCCUGAGCAUUGUACACACCGCCCGUCAAGUCAUGGAAGCUGGGAGCGCCCGAAGUCGGGGUAUU
rnacentral:rRNA from 1 species